rnacentral:lncRNA from 10 species
CACCACUGUGCUCCCAGAGGGAGAACAGAGAGGGGUGCAGAGGGCCAGAGAGGCACGGGGCUCCCCUGGGCACCCCUCGUCUUGGGGCCCCUGCCCUGCCUCCACUCAGAAUCCCACUAUGUGCUUGGAGCCAUGCUGGGUGCUGGGGAGACACACUAACCACUUCCCCAUAUGCUCACAGCCAGAGAGACACACAGGCCAGCAGCCUGUAAACCACUGGGUGUGGGGUGUCUGGUCCUGGAGUGACAAGGACAGGGAGGAAGAAAGCCAGGCAGGUGGCCCAUGAGCCGUGGAGUAGGUGGGGAAGGGGACAUCUCCAAGGAGGUGACAUCGGAGCAGUCCUCUAAGGAGUUUGGAGUCAUUUUCAGUCACUCACAAGCCACAGGAGGGCUUCAGCCUGAAGCUCAGAGGUGAUGUGCUUAGAUGUCACAGAGCCGGGAGGGGAACAGGCUGGGCUGCAGAGAGGAGGCCAGGCACAGUCACCUCGUGUUGCUGUCCCCCAGGUAGGAGAUAAGGGACCAGAGUCAGGGCAGGUGGGAGAAGGGGAGGUUCUUGGUUCAGCUGCUGCUGAGACAGUGACCCUGGGGACAGCCCAAAUAAGAGAGAACUUUGCCACCCGCAGGGUCCCAGAGUAGCAGAAGCUUCAGGGCUGAUGUGUGCCUGGUGAAUCAGCCUGGCCCCAGACCUCCUCUCUCUGCUUGCUUUCCUGUCCACAAUCCAGUGCUUCUGUCCUAUGGUCCCCAGCGGCUGCUCCUGCAUUCACCAUCACAUCUGCAUUCCAGCAGCAGGAGGGAGGUAAAAGACAUGAAGGACAGGCCCCACUCCUGUAAAACCCUACACAGAAGCGGCCCACGUCAUCCCCCUUUCUGUCCACCCGCCGGAAUGUGACGCACGCCUGAGUCGCUGCAAGGGCCCCUGGGGACGGAGUCUCUAUUCCAGGCAGGCAAACACUCAGCUUAAUUCAGGGUUCUGUUGAUUAAAAAAAAAAAGUGGGGUCGGGGGGGCGGGGGAGAGCGGCUAUGGAGACAAGUGGCUGUUUUGCCAGAGGGAAAAUUCCACAUGUGGCUUGGAGGCCAGACCAGAAGGACUCAGAUAGGAGUUGGGCGCUUGAGGGAGGAAAUGGGGGUACACUUCAGCGGCUCAGGCCAGGGUGUAAGUAGCAGGUAUGUGGUGGUACUGUUUUCCGGAAUGAAGAGGAAGGGGCGGGCAGAAGGCAGCGAGAGCUUUGUUUGGGGUGUGUCGAAUUCAAGAUGCCUCUGAGACAUGGAAGUGGUGAGGUCAGGGGCCGGGAACCCUAUGGUGGUGUUGGCCCUGAGUCCAAGCCAGGCACCACCGGGCACAUAGAGGUCUUGAAAGCUCGAAUGUGGGGAGGCCAGCAACAGAGGGAACACUACCUGCAAAGGGGCGAGGGCAGGACAAAGGCUGGCAGCACCACACAGGAGCCAGCAGGGAAGGGGCCACAGCCGGGACUCAGAGGAGGCAGCCACGUGCAGAAAGGCACCCAUGGGAACAUGGCUCCUGGGAGCUGGAGGACCUCAGCAGGCAGGGACUAGCACCCAAGAAGAAAACUCUGAGAAGUCAGGACAGGAGAUGGUGUCGUCAGGGGGCUGCUGGAAGGUUUGGUGACCGGAGCAGCAGGUGCCAGAGCUGAAAGCACUGGUUAAACGUGAUGGGUAAACACAUGUCUAUUUCAGCUUCUUUGAAUCCCACUAAGGUGACAGUAAAGGCAUGAAAAACAUGGAAACAUGUAAAUCAACUAGGGUAAAGUGGUCAGGAGAAAAGAGGAGACCAAAAAUAUGUUGACAAAGGUUUGGAAGCUGGGAAGCAGGAGGACAGAUGGAGACUGGCCUAGGAGACUGGAGAGGGUAGACACCAAGCCCUGCAGGAAGAAGAGCCACCAAGAAUGAGGCAGUUCCCAACCCAGGACCCUGACAGGCAGGUCUCACCCCAGCCCAUGAAGCCAGAUGCUACUGAUUCUCAAGCUCAGCUAGAGACAGGUUGAGUCUCCAGAAAAGCUGAGCCUGAGAGGUUCUGAACUUGGAGCCACCAGGAGCAGUUGUGGGUGGGGCAGGAGCUCUCGUGAUGAAAACAACAGGGAUUCAGUAAAUGCAUUCAAGCUAAAAAGGAAGACCUCCUCCCCCACUUCCCUCAUCAACUCCCAGAAUGCCCGGUGGGGCACACCAUUGUUUUCAGAACACCAGCAAUAAAGCAGACACUCCACAUUUCCAGAGAGAAAAAGUAAGUCACACACAAGAGAAUAGAAAAUCAAAACGGUAUCCAAUUUCUUAACAGCAAUUCAGAAAGCUAGCACAUAGUAGAGAAAUGCCUUCAAACAUCUGAGGGAAAAAAUGAUUUCCCAUCCAGAAUUCUAUACCUAGUCAAACUCUCAGGUAUGAGAAUAGAAUAAAGACAUUUCCAAACAUGCACAGUCAAAAAUUGUAUCUACCACAUGCCUUUUCUCAGAAAGUUACUUGAGGACGUGCUCUAGCAAAAUGAGAGGAAAAAACAAAGAAAGAGAAACACAAUUCAAGAACCAGGGAGACUCCAACACCAAAAACAAAAGGCCAAGAGAAUUUUCAACAUGAGUGAAAGAAGUUCUAGCAUUACAGCUGCUCAGCAUGCCUACAGUGCAAACAGUCCUGCUAAGACUCCAGGAAGAAAUCCCAGAAGAAAAAAAAAAUGAAGGUGAUAGACUGCCAGUAUUCUCAAUAGGAUGAAAGAAGUUUUACAAUUCUUACAGAAAGUUCAAGAAUGAAUUAGUGACAGAUGCAGUAAAAAACAAGCAAAACCUAAGGCCAUUUGUAACCCAAGGGAAAACAAGAAGAUGUAAUCAUAACAGACCACAGGACACAGCUAAAAACAGUGAUUACAUAGUGACAUAAAGAGUUAUAUACUGUUUGUGUAAAAUGCAAACAGUAAGUA